GGGGAAUAUUGGGCAAUGGGCGAAAGCCUGACCCAGCAACGCCGCGUGAAGGAAGAAGGUUUUCGGAUCGUAAACUUCUAUCCCGGGUGAAGAUAAUGACGGUAGCCCGGAAGGAAGCCCCGGCUAACUACGUGCCAGCAGCCGCGGUAAUACGUAGGGGGCAAGCGUUGUCCGGAAUGAUUGGGCGUAAAGGGCGCGUAGGCGGCCUUGUAAGUCCGAUGUGAAAUUCCUGCUUUUAAGGUAGGAAUUGCAUUGGAAACUGCGGGGCUUGAGUGCAGGAGAGGUAAGCGGAAUUCCCGGUGUAGCGGUGAAAUGCGUAGAGAUCGGGAGGAACACCAGUGGCGAAGGCGGCUUACUGGACUGUAACUGACGCUGAGGCGCGAAAGUGUGGGGAGCAAAC
rnacentral:rRNA from 1 species